GCCCUAUCCCGUUCCCCAGAUGGAGGCGUCCCCGAUAUCUCGCUCGGGAUCCCUCAUCUGAAGGAUCGAGGUCGGGAUCCCCCAUCCCUCAACCGCCGACGGUGAAGCCUCCUUCCCGCGUAAUCCUCCUCUCCUCCAGAGUAUUAUGAUGGAUUCUCAAGAUGAUACAAUGGGUAUGUACCAGUUUAUUGAGUGAGCGCGUCGUCGUUGAUGAAGUUUGGGAUGACACUCAAAAUUACGGCCAUUUGGAGAGCAACCAAUUCCAAAUGAAAUUGUUACUCCUCCGAUGAGACCAAACAACAAGAGAUCCAAAAAAUAAAACAUUUUUAUUUUAAUUAUAUGCGUUCAAAUACACGAUUUCAAAUAAACUCAUUUGAAAUAUUGAAGUUUAGAAAAUCGGUUGGAAGAUA